rnacentral:tRNA from 1 species
GGUAAGGUGGCCGAGAGUUUAGGUGGUGGGUUGUAGCCCCAUGAACAAAGGUUUGAGUCCUUUCCUUACCA